rnacentral:rRNA from 1 species
UACGUAGGGUGCGAGCGUUGUCCGGAAUUAUUGGGCGUAAAGAGCGUGUAGGCGGUUUGGUAGGUCCGCUGUGAAAACUCGAGGCUCAACCUCGAGACGCCGGUGGAAACCAUCAGACUAGAGUCCGGAAGAGGAGAGUGGAAUUCCUGGUGUAGCGGUGAAAUGCGCAGAUAUCAGGAAGAACACCCGUGGCUAAGGCGGCUCUCUAGUACGGUACUGACGCUGAGACGCGAAAGCCGUGGGGAGCAAACAGG